UGAAAAACAUGGUGUGCUUAAAUCUAAG
rnacentral:sRNA from 1 species